AUGCAGCUGGCGAGUCCCAAAUAGGACGAAACGCGUGUCCUGGAU
rnacentral:hammerhead_ribozyme from 1 species